AGUGAACGCUGGCGGUAGGCCUAACACAUGCAAGUCGAACGGCAGCACAGUAAGAGCUUGCUCUUACGGGUGGCGAGUGGCGGACGGGUGAGGAAUACAUCGGAAUCUACUUUUUCGUGGGGGAUAACGUAGGGAAACUUACGCUAAUACCGCAUACGACCUACGGGUGAAAGCAGGGGAUCUUCGGACCUUGCGCGAUUGAAUGAGCCGAUGUCGGAUUAGCUAGUUGGCGGGGUAAAGGCCCACCAAGGCGACGAUCCGUAGCUGGUCUGAGAGGAUGAUCAGCCACACUGGAACUGAGACACGGUCCAGACUCCUACGGGAGGCAGCAGUGGGGAAUAUUGGACAAUGGGCGCAAGCCUGAUCCAGCCAUACCGCGUGGGUGAAGAAGGCCUUCGGGUUGUAAAGCCCUUUUGUUGGGAAAGAAAAGCAGCAGGUUAAUACCCCGCUGCUCUGACGGUACCCAAAGAAUAAGCACCGGCUAACUUUGUG
rnacentral:rRNA from 1 species